rnacentral:rRNA from 1 species
AUUGAACGCUGGCGGCAUGCUUUACACAUGCAAGUCGAACGGCAGCGCGGGCUUCGGCCUGGCGGCGAGUGGCGAACGGGUGAGUAAUACAUCGGAACGUGCCCAGUAGUGGGGGAUAGCUCGGCGAAAGCCGGAUUAAUACCGCAUACGACCUGAGGGUGAAAGCGGGGGAUCUUCGGACCUCGCGCUAUUGGAGCGGCCGAUGGCAGAUUAGCUAGUUGGUGGGGUAAAGGCCUACCAAGGCGACGAUCUGUAGCUGGUCUGAGAGGACGACCAGCCACACUGGGACUGAGACACGGCCCAGACUCCUACGGGAGGCAGCAGUGGGGAAUUUUGGACAAUGGGUGAAAGCCUGAUCCAGCAAUGCCGCGUGUGUGAUGAAGGCCUUCGGGUUGUAAAGCACUUUUGGCGGGAACGAAAAGGACUGUGCCAAUACCACGGUCCGAUGACGGUACCCGCAGAAUAAGCACCGGCUAACUACGUG